GGAAAUGAAAAGCUUUGAAAUGCAGCUGUCCCACUCCCUACUAUUUCCACUUAAACCCAACUAUUUUUCCAUCAGGAUCCAACACACUUGUGGUGACACAUGGAAACAGGGUGAGCUCAUGGACUCGGGGGAAUAAAAAGCCCAGCAUUCCCAACACAGCACCCUGAAAGCACUUUGCUACUCUCAGCCUCUACUUCUAUUGAAGGUAAAUGUGGAGGAAGACCGAGUGAUGGAAAAACCCACUUCAGAGCAGAAAAUGACAGAAAAAAAAAAAUAGACAUCUGACUGCCAUUUAUUAAUAAUGCUAGAGACAAAAAAUCACUUGACCUAAAACCAUUCUAACUGUAAAUUGCCUUUAUUCUUUCAGAUCAUAAAAUGUAACUCCUUUGGCAAAAUUAAAGAGAGUGGUACCAAAAACUGAUAAUCAAUAAUGAUUAAUUGAGAGUGUGUACCAUGUAAUAUGAGAAUACAAAGGAAGGAGUGGCUGAUUCUGGUGGUCUUAACAUUUAAGUAAAGGAGAAUCUCACAUCUGAAGACAGGGCACACAAGCUCAUUUCUCAUAAAGGAAAGCUGCUUUUCUUGAUCACUGUUUGUAUGUUUCUGACACUGUGGUAUUAACAUUUUAAAUAGAAUCUUUAACCAUUGUAUGUGAAUCAAUCAGAUCUUUUUGAAGGCCAGGCUCAGAGAAUGACCUUAAUUGAAUUGGUUACUGCAUUGUUCUUGGUAAUUUGGUUUUGUUAUAUAUCCUUCUACUAGAUAUUAAUGUCUGGUUUGAAUUAAAGUCUGCAGCAUGCUCAGAAGUUGUGAGAGUAACUGACGUAACUUGUCUGCAGCCAAUGGCCAAAAGGAUUUAUUGUAAUUUGUAGCAUACAGCUUAUUCAUUUAAUUGACCCACACACCUGUUGACAAGCACCAUGCUAGAUAUAGAUAUAAAAUUUUGUAGUCUGUUUCUGCCAAAUAUUUAUAUUACAAUGGGACAGGAUAUUUGACUUCUCUGAGCCUGUUUCCUCUUAAGUUUGUAAGAACUGGAUGAGAUAAAUAUAUGUAAA
rnacentral:lncRNA from 1 species